rnacentral:lncRNA from 1 species
AUUGACCUAUGGCCGGAUGUGUAUUUGGAACAUGCUUUUAAACAAAAUAGACUGAAAUGACAAAACAUUACUACUACAUCAUUAGUUUUUAUUAACUAAAAGCAUUCACAAGGGGGGGGGGGGAAUUUACAACUAAAUUACUAUAGAAUAGGCAUGUCCAGUUAUACAUAAACAAACACCUACUUGACUCUAAUAAAAGAAAGGUAUUCUAAUGUAUAUACAAACAAAUAGACAACUAUAAUGAAUUUUAAAACUUCAACUCCUUAUUUCUUUGUAUUCAUGCUUCAAGUUUCAACCUACAAGAACCAGUGUAUCAAAUUUGUGUACCUGGUAUUUGGAAAGCAAAGAGAAGAAGAGGAAGAUCAGUGCAGAAAAACAGCAGUAGCAUACACAGUAACACAACAGUACAGCAAUAACCAGUAGACCAGUAGCCAACAAUAACAGUAGCAGAAAUACCAGGAGCAGAUUGAAAACAGGAGAAUAACCCCAGCAACUCAAUAGAACAGAGCUUGAAAAACCAGCAGAAAUCCCAGGAAAUUCCAAAUUCAAACCAAACAAUACCACAAAACAAUUACAGUCAAAACAGAAGAUAGGCAAGUGUAAGAAAAUUUUCUUUCUGAUCGUGAACCCUCAAAGAAGAAAGCAAACUCAAGCUCUUUACCGUAAGCUUAGCCCUUAAACAUUUACUCUAUUCCUCACUUAGUAAGAUAACAUAGUCUAUAUGCACUCUCCUCUUUAGUUCUGAAAUUUCUCCUAAUUUUCAGCACUCUUUCCCCUCUCUUUAAAAUUCUCUCCCUUCUCCUCUUUCAGUAUUUUUUCUGGUUCCUCCUUUUUUAAACUCUUAAAUUUUUCUUUUUGUGUUCAAAAAAAUCCCCCCC